GAUGAACGCUGGCGGCGUGCCCAAUACAUGCAAGUCGAGCGAACAGACGAGGAGCUUGCUCCUCUGACGUUAGCGGCGGACGGGUGAGUAACACGUGGAUAACCUACCUAUAAGACUGGGAUAACUUCGGGAAACCGGAGCUAAUACCGGAUAAUAUAUUGAACCGUAUGGUUCAAUAGUGAAAGACGGUUUUGCUGUCACUUAUAGAUGGAUCCGCGCCGCAUUAGCUAGUUGGUAAGGUAACGGCUUACCAAGGCGACGAUGCGUAGCCGACCUGAGAGGGUGAUCGGCCACACUGGAACUGAGACACGGUCCAGACUCCUACGGGAGGCAGCAGUAGGGAAUCUUCCGCAAUGGGCGAAAGCCUGACGGAGCAACGCCGCGUGAGUGAUGAAGGUCUUCGGAUCGUAAAACUCUGUUAUUAGGGAAGAACAAAUGUGUAAGUAACUAUGCACGUCUUGACGGUACCUAAUCAGAAAGCCACGGCUAACUACGUG
rnacentral:rRNA from 1 species